ensembl:lncRNA
GAUUGCUGUGGCUAGGUCUUCCAAAACUAUGUUGAAUAAAGGUGAUGAGAGUGGAGAUCCUUGCUUGUUCUUGAUCUUGGUGAGAAUUCUUUCAGCUUUUCCCUAUUGAAAAUGAUGCUAUUUAGCUGUGGGUUUGUCAUAUGACUUUCAUUAUGUUGAAGUGGUUUCCCUCACUCACUUUCUGGAGGUAUUUUUUUCUCCCAUACAUGAAUGUUGGUUUUGUCAAAAGUUUUUCUGCAUCUAUUGAGACAUCAUAUGGUUUUUAUUCGUCCAUUUGUUAAUGCAUUGUAUCACACCAAUUGAUUUGUGGAUAUUGAGAAAUCCCUGCAUCUCUGGGAUAAUCCCACUUGAUCAUGGUGUAUUGUAUUGUUGGAUUCAGUUUGCUGGUAUUUUGUUGGGGAUUUUUGCAUCUAUGUUCAUCUGUGAUAUUGGCCUGUAAUUUUCUUUUUUUAUGUGGUAUCUUUUCUGGUUUUGGUAUCAGGGUGAUGGUGGCCUCAAAGAAUGAAAAAUAUCUAACUGGCUGGGGCUACAGAGUCAACCUUGUUUGGGGUGAGAAGGCUCAAAGUUGGCCUGCUGUUUGGGAAUUGAUUGGCUGCAUCCAUAUUGCAUUCCCAGUCAAGAGGAACAUUUGCAGGAACCAGAAAGUUAUCUAUCUUUUGGUUUGCUGAACUGGCACACCUGGCAGGAGGGGCUCCAUCUUGGGCCUAGAAGUUUAUUGUUGAAAGGAUAAGUUAAAAUUGCUAACAAACGUGAGACUGUUAAGUGUAACAGUACCUACUAGAUGUUGAGUCUAUAGGAUGCCAUAGAGUUGACUGAAGUUACUGACUUUGAUUCUUAUAAAAACACUAAUGGGGCAGAUAUUAUUGUUCCCAAAUGGCCACGUGAUGUUUGGCACUGGCGUAUCCAAUAAAUAUGAGGAUGACUUGAAAGGAAAUGUGUAGCAGUUUUCAUAAAACGCCAUCUGAGAAAAUGGAGUACCCAAAUUGAGUGUUUUAUAUGCUUCUCUCUUUCAAUUAAUAUCCUCAGUUAAGCUGACCUGUUUGUCAAACCACAUGGGUGUGCUCUGUGUGUCUAAGCUUGCUCCUGGUCUGGGGACUGACGAGGUGCCAUGCUACAAUGAGGUGAGAUGGAGAACUCGUUUCCCAGGGCCCUGGGCAUUCAGAAUUGAACCAAACACACAGGCAGCAACAAAGUUCCUGAAAGGCAGGGCAGCAAAUAGGUUUCAGGUUCUUCCUUCAUAAUUUACUCAGGUAGUCUUUGGAGGUCAACACAAAUAAGAUAAAUUAAUAGUUUGAGUGAACCCAUGAAAACUUAAAAAUAACUGUCUGCUAGGAUCUUUUCUGGUUGGUAAUACUUUUUUUUGUGAAAGAAAAAAUGGACAUGGUUAUUAGAAAGAAUGGGAAGAUAUUUCUACUCACAAACAUUCUAAUAGAAGAAAGCCAAAUUGUACAGUAAGAAAAUGUUGGGAAAUAUUCUUGGUGGGUGCUGCAACAUCAAAAAAAUAUGAAUUGUUCACAUUACUUGUAUUCUGACAAACCAAUUAGAUGUAGAACCACCUGGACGUAGCUAACACCAAACCUUUUAUUUUAAGCACAAAUAUAUUUCAUUCUUUGGCGCUUUCUUGUGCUGAGAUUAUUUCCUAAAUUCUUGCUUGAUUUCAUUGGACAGAUGAGUAAUAACAGACUUAAGUAAUACUUAUUUAUCCUUUUGAAUAUUAUAAAGAUUUGUAGGUUUCUAACUUCUCCUAACUUUUAUUUGGUCCAAUCAUCUGACACAAAACUGCUUUUCAAAGGCCAUGUCUGGUUCUUAGGUGAUGUGAUCUACCACCUGUUAGGCCCACAACGAUGCUACAUUUGAGCAUCUUUGGGCCUUUAUCAGCUUCAGAAGCAGCUCCCUGAUCUCUAAGUAUUUAUUCUAGUCGUCAGAAGAAAUUGUUAAAACAUGCCAAGAACAUGAGAAAAUGAGAUGACUUUUGGCUUCUCAUCUUUGAUUCUGCUCCUGUCACACUAGGGACAUGAUAUUUGACUGCCAGAUUCCUUUCUUCCAAUUAUGUGCCAUUGGUGG